rnacentral:rRNA from 1 species
AUUGAACGCUGGCGGCAGGCUUAACACAUGCAAGUCGAACGGAUCCUUCGGGAUUAGUGGCGGACGGGUGAGUAACACGUGGGAACGUGCCCUUUGGUACGGAACCACCCAGGGAAACUUGAGCUAAUAACGGAUGUGCCAUUCGGGGGAAUGCUUUAUCGCCAUGGGAGCGGACAGGGUAUGAUUAGUUAGUUGGUGAGGUAAAGGCAAACCAAGGGGACGAUCAGUAGCUGGUAUGAGAGGAUGAUCAGCCAAAUUGGGACUGAGACACGACCCAAACGCCUACGGGAGGCAGCAGUGGGGAAUCUUUCGCAGUGGGCGAAAGGCGGACGCAGCCAUGCCGCGAGAAUGAUGAAGGUCUUAGAAUUGUAAAAUAGUUUCACCGGGGACGAUAAUGACGGUACCCGCAGAAGAAGCCCCGGCUAACUUCGUGCCAGCCGCCGCCGUAAGAC